AAGUAAGCACUCGUUUGGCAUCACUGGAGAGUGUUCUUAGAGCUCAAGCGUGCUUGAAUCGUACGGCGAUCUUCUGAUCUGCAAGUGCUGAAACCGGCCCCCUCUUUUAAAGCCGAGAGAAACUCUGCAAGGACAGCACUAAUGGAUGUGGUGUUGCUGGUGAAGGAGAAGAACUUCCGUAAUGUCUUGGGUUGCAGCCAGCAUCCAGAUGCGCUUACGACAGAGUUGACCAAGUUCUAUGUGCUGACCAUGCUGCAUUUAGGACUCAACAAAUCGCGACAUGAAUGGCGUAAAAAGAAAUUGCAUGCAAAGAUCAACCGUUCCUCCUAAUGCCUCUCUCGUUGCAGCCAUGUACUUUGAGAACACUACUGUGGUGUUUUGUACCAAUAAAGUUUUUUUGUUGCCAGU